CCGAUCUUCUCAUCAGAACCUCCAUCAGAGAUGGCAGUCCUGGUGCUGCUCCUCUGCCUGGUGACAUUUCCAAGCAGUGUCUUGUCACAAGUGCAGCUGAAGGAGUCAGGACCUGACCUGGUACAGCCCUCACAGACCCUGUCCCUCACCUGCACUGUCUCUGGGUUCUCAUUAAGCAGCUAUGGUGUACAUUGGUUUCGCAAGCCUCCAAGAAAAGGACUGGAAUGGUUGGGAGGAGUAUGGCCUGGUGGAAGCACAUACUAUAAUUCACUUCUUAGUUCCCGACUGAGCAUCACCUGGGACAACUACAAGAGCCAAGUUUUCUUAAAAAUGAGCAGUCUGCAAAGUGAAGACACAGCCAUGUACUUCUGUGCCAGAUACACAGAGAAAGAAAUCUAGUGUGAACCUGAACAA